AGUGAACGCUGGCGGUAGGCCUAACACAUGCAAGUCGAACGGCAGCACAGGAGAGCUUGCUCUCUGGGUGGCGAGUGGCGGACGGGUGAGGAAUACAUCGGAAUCUACUCUGUCGUGGGGGAUAACGUAGGGAAACUUACACUAAUACCGCAUACGACCUACGGGUGAAAGCAGGGGACCUUCGGGCCUUGCGCGAUUGAAUGAGCCGAUGUCGGAUUAGCUAGUUGGCGGGGAAAAGGCCCACCAAGGCGACGAUCCGUAGCUGGUCUGAGGGUAUGAUAAGCAACACUGGAGCGGGGACACGGUCCAGACGCCGACGGGAGGGAGCAGGGGGGAAUAUUGGACAAUGGGCGCAAGCCUGAUCCAGCCAUACCGCGUGGGUGAAGAAGGCCUUCGGGUUGUAAAGCCCUUUUGUUGGGAAAGAAAUCCAGCUGGCUAAUACCCGGUUGGGAUGACGGUACCCAAAGAAUAAGCACCGGCUAACUUCGUGCCAGCAGCCGCAGUAA
rnacentral:rRNA from 1 species